ensembl:lncRNA
AUUGUUUAGAAGGCACCACCGUUCGUUUGCAUUUCCAUAUAUUCAGAAAGAUUAUACUGUCUAUAUAUUGUCCUCAUCUUUAUUGCUAUGGAAUGAUCUUGUCAAAAAUCAAUGGUCUUUUUACUACCAAUCUUUAUCUCUCAUUACCAUGAGGCAAACCCAUACCCGGUGCACAGCUCCAACCUGCAUGUUUCCCAGCGCGCCGCUUUCCCAUGAGAUCUGUGGGGCACACAGCCAUGUGGAGCUGUGUUCCUUCUGUGCUGGGGGGUUCUGGCAGCCCCUGCACACCUCAUGCCGCCCAACAAGAAGUGCUCUGAGCACACCAGGAGCGGUGCCCAGCAGCAACACCGCGUGCUCAGAGCGGGACCUGACAGGCCUGCCCUGGGCUGAGCAGCGCCCUGGAAGCAGAAGGACUCCUGCCGAGCCCUGCUCUGAGGCCAGGCUCCCUGCUGCCCCGUGGGAUGCAGGAGGUGAUGCGGGAGGGCGUGAACCUCAAGUUCUGCUUCCACUGAAACGUGGCAGUGCUCCUCCCUCCUCCACUUCUUACUGCUUACUGAAGAACAGGUGGCCAAUAAGCAGAUAAAUGCAAUAAUAAAAGUCUACAACAAAUAGAGCAGCAAUAUAAAUAGCAGUUUUUUCACCACUGUACAUUGAAAUCAAAGGCUUCAGUUCCAAGACCAAGACUCUAUCAGAUCCAAAGAGAAAAAUUACAACAACAUGCAGAAGUGAAGGUAAAAAAGGCUUACUCAGCUCAGACACAGCCCGGUCUUCACAGAACCAGAACUGCUGGUUUUCCUGAAGCUGGUCAGGGGUUUGGGCCUCUUCUUGAGGCAAGCGAGCGUCCAAAUCUCUCAGCAUUUGCCCAAAUAAAGCAGCGCCUGCCUGUGCCGACCAGUUCUACCAUUUUCAAGUGUUACAAUUCAACUAAACAAAAUCCAGCUCUUGAACAGACAUUUGGAAAUGCUUUUUGUCCCUCAAGGCUUUCUCUUUCCCAAACUCCAGCCCGACUGCUAAGUGUGACUGGAGCUCAGAAAUAUUUCCUACUAACAGAAACCACUACAUUGGUAUCAUCCUUAAUGCAGCACUGUUUUGCUUAAACUGAAAUCACACCCGAGGACAGUCACAUCGUGAGAAUCAAAGUUUCUAAAAGUUAAAACAAAGCUAAGAACGGUGGAUGUGACGAGAACGGAUACGUGCCCUGGUUUCCAGCAACUCUGUCAUUUCUACACAUUUGCCCUGCGAAUUAUUCAGAUACAAUAUUUUGAUUACCAGUGACACCACGGGCACAGCUACCUGCUGGCCCUGUGUGCACACCCGCGUGCCAUAAAUUCAACAGGCUUCCAGCACACUCCCCCUCGCAGUGAAGUGCUGCCCAUCUCACCCUUACGGCUUGCUUCUCACCACGUCUAUUUACAGAUGCUCAAACCAACCACCCACAGGGACCCAGCCUGGUCACUGGCUGCCCUCAAUCUGCUCCACUCAUACACCGCCCUCCUGUCCCACCCUCUCCCAGCCCAACCCUCCCAGGGCACAGCCAUGUGCCAGGGUUGUGGGCCCCUCCACACCUCCCCGCCUCCUCUGCCACAGUCAUUAAUGAAAACUGUAACAGAUGGGUCCCAAAAUUUAUUCCAUUUGUAGAUGUUGGAUGUUUUUAAAGAAUACAACAAUUUACAAUACAGCAAGAUUAGUAAUGACACGAUAGCAUAUAAAUGGCACAAACAACCACACAGCGUAAUCUCCCUGAAAUGUUUGAAACAUUCUGCAUUUCAGCCUCUUUUAUCUUUCUCUCCCAUCUCUCACCUUCUGCCUGCUUGUCUGUACUUUCUCUGUUUCAUCAAUCUUUCCUUCUCAUUCUCAGAUCAAAGUCGAGAAUAUUCGUUCAAACUCAAGAAAGCUGGGUUUGCAGUGUUAAUAUUCCUCACUCCAAUCUCUGGAUUCAGUUUACAAAAUCUGAAGACCAUCACACACCACACACAAAAGAUACAAACGUUUGAAAAGGUUCCU